rnacentral:tRNA from 1 species
GGUCCAGUGGUCUAGUGGGUAAGUUUACGACACCUUGCUUGACUGGCAGUUACAGGCCCCGGGUUCAAAUCCCGGCUGGACCC